CUCUCUCUCUCUCUCUCUCUCUCUCUCUCUCUCUCUCUCUCUCUCUCUCUCUCUCGUGUUCCCAUUUCGCAACUGGAAACAAGCAGAAGCAUUUUUUUUUAUGGAUCAAGAUUUGCAGAUCCUACAAGGAUGGACUGAUGGAGAAUCACCAACUGGCCGUACGGCACUCUUUGGGGAUUCCGACGAGAUGGUCGAUGAACAAAGAUAACAAUGGAUCGUUAGACGCCACACAACUGAUGGAUUGAAGCUGUGAUAAGUCUGGAUGCUCGAGAACACAAGGAAUCACACACAAGGUUCUAGGGCGGCUGUGAGUUCUCUUGUAAGAAAACUAGGUUUUUAUUUCAUAAGCAAAAACGUGUGUUACAAAAGCUGCAGGGGAGCCUUAUUAAUAUGCUCUUCAGCUGUGACCUUCGAGGGUCUUUAUUAGAAAAGGAAAGUGCUAAACUUGCAAAUUACAAGUCUUAUUGAGGACUAAAAAGAAAGAACUUGAACUAAUGGAAAUUCCUGUAAAUAAAACAUAAAAGGAGACUUGUUAAUAAAAUUACACUCAAAUGCUUACCUUAAUUCCAUUAGCACGUGACACAUUUUGAGGUUCUCCUAGGUGUGUGUAAGCCCCAGCUCGUACGAAGACGUUUUGGUAAUGGUGAACAAAGUUGAUUCCCUCGUUCCUUGCAAAACUGGCAAAAAGGAUGUAGGUUGAGUCUUGAGAUGCAAGUAAGCGUCUCCUUGUAGGUAUGUUGACAUCCUCUUCGGUCUCGGAUAAGCUUAGGUCGAUGGCCUCAUCAUUCCGUCCCUCUUGAGAAAGUUCUGACCCCAGAACG